rnacentral:rRNA from 1 species
AUGGUCCUACGGGACGCAGCAGUGAGGAAUAUUGGUCAAUGGGCGGGAGCCUGAACCAGCCCAGUCGCGUGAGGGAAGACGGUCCUAUGGAUUGUAAACCUCUUUAGGCGGGGAGCAAUGCCGGGCACGCGUGUCCGGAGGGAGAGUACCCGCAGAAUAAGCAUCGGCUAACUCCGUGCCAGCAGCCGCGGUAAUACGGAGGAUGCGAGAGUUAUCCGGAUUUAUUGGGUUUAUAGGGUGCGUAGGCG